rnacentral:rRNA from 1 species
GACGAACGCUGGCGGCGUGCUUAACACAUGCAAGUCGAACGAAGUGGCGAACGGGUGAGUAACGCGUAAUCAACCUGCCCUUCAGAGGGGGACAACAGUUGGAAACGACUGCUAAUACCGCAUACUGAAGGAGGGGAUUGCGUCUGAUUUGCUAGUUGGAGGGGUAACGGCCCACCAAGGCGAUGAUCAGUAGGCGGGUUUGAAGGGUGGACGGGCAAAUUGGGACUGGGAAACGGGCCAGACUCCUUCCGGAGGCAGCAGUGGGGAAACUUCCGCAAUGGAGGAAAGUCUGAAGGAGGAAAGCCGGGGGAUAGAUGACGGCCUUCGGGUUGGAAAGCUCUUUUAAUCGGGACGCGGUACCGGAAUAGAAAGCCACGGCUAACUACGUGCCAGCAGCCGCGGUAAUAC